UCGCACCUACCGAUUGAAUGGUCCGGUGAAAUUUUCGGACUGCGGCAAUGUCGCCGGUUUCGGGGACUAUGCUGUGGGAAGUUAAUUAAACCUUACCAUUUAGAGGAAGGUG
rnacentral:rRNA from 1 species